rnacentral:rRNA from 1 species
UACGUAGGUGGCAAGCGUUGUCCGGAUUUACUGGGCGUAAAGAGCGCGCAGGCGGCUGGUCAAGUCCGAUGUGAAAGCUCCCGGCUUAACUGGGAAACGGCAUCGGAAACUGAUCGGCUUGAAGGUGGGAGAGGGUAGUGGAAUUCCUGGUGUAGAGGUGAAAUUCGUAGAUAUCAGGAGGAACACCGGCGGCGAAGGCGGCUUCCUGGCCCAUUACUGACGUUCAGGUACGAAAGCGUGGGUAGCAAACAGG